GAUGAACGCUGGCGGCGUGCCUAAUACAUGCAAGUCGAGCGAAUGGAUUAAGAGCUUGCUCUUAUGAAGUUAGCGGCGGACGGGUGAGUAACACGUGGGUAACCUGCCCAUAAGACUGGGAUAACUCCGGGAAACCGGGGCUAAUACCGGAUAAUAUUUUGAACUGCAUGGUUCAAAAUUGAAAGGCGGCUUCGGCUGUCACUUAUGGAUGGACCCGCGUCGCAUUAGCUAGUUGGUGAGGUAACGGCUCACCAAGGCAACGAGGCGUAGCCGACCUGAGAGGGGGAUCGGCCAAACUGGGACUGAGACACGGCCCAGACUCCUACGGGAGGCAGCAGUAGGGAAUCUUCCGCAAUGGACGAAAGUCUGACGGAGCAACGCCGCGUGAGUGAUGAAGGCUUUCGGGUCGUAAAACUCUGUUGUUAGGGAAGAACAAGUGCUAGUUGAAUAAGCUGGCACCUUGACGGUACCUAACCAGAAAGCCACGGCUAACUACGUGCCAGCCGCCGCGGUAA
rnacentral:rRNA from 1 species